rnacentral:rRNA from 1 species
AACGAACGCUGGCGGCAUGCCUAACACAUGCAAGUCGAACGAGACCUUCGGGUCUAGUGGCGCACGGGUGCGUAACGCGUGGGAACCUGCCCUUAGGUUCGGAAUAACUCCCCGAAAGGGGUGCUAAUACCGGAUAAUGUCCUCGGACCAAAGAUUUAUCGCCUUUGGCGGGGCCCGCGUUGGAUUAGCUAGUUGGUAGGGUAAAAGCCUACCAAGGCGACGAUCCAUAGCUGGUCAGAGAGGAUGAUCAGCCACUCUGGGACGAGGACACGGCACAGACUCUUGCGGGAUGCGGCAGUGCUUGAUAUUGGACCAUCGGCUGAGGCCUGAACCAAUAAUGGCGCGUAAGUUAUGGAGGCCUUAGGGUAGUAAAGCUCUUUUAACCGGGAUGGUAAUGACGGUACCGAAAGAAUAAGCGCCGGCUAACUCCGUG